rnacentral:rRNA from 1 species
GGGUUGUGAGGUUAAGCGACUAAGCGUACACGGUGGAUGCCCUGGCAGUCAGAGGCGAUGAAGGACGUGCUAAUCUGCGAAAAGCGUCGGUAAGGUGAUAUGAACCGUUACAGCCGGCGAUGUCCGAAUGGGGAAACCCAGUGCAAUUCGUUGCACUAUCGUUAACUGAAUACAUAGGUUAACGAGGCGAACCGGGGGAACUGAAACAUCUAAGUACCCCGAGGAAAAGAAAUCAACCGAGAUUCCCCCAGUAGCGGCGAGCGAACGGGGAGCAGCCCAGAGUCUGAAUCAGCUUGUGUGUUAGUGGAACGGUCUGGAAAGUCCGACGGUACAGGGUGAUAGUCCCGUACACCAAAAUGCACAGGCUGUGAACUCGAAGAGUAGGGCGGGACACGUGGUAUCCUGUCUGAAUAUGGGGGGACCAUCCUCCAAGGCUAAAUACUCCUGACUGACCGAUAGUGAACCAGUACCGUGAGGGAAAGGCGAAAAGAACCCCGGCGAGGGGAGUGAAAAAGAACCUGAAACCGUGUACGUACAAGCAGUGGGAGCACCUUCGGGUGUGACUGCGUACCUUUUGUAUAAUGGGUCAGCGACUUAUAUUCUGUAGCAAGGUUAACCGUAUAGGGGAGCCGCAGGGAAACCGAGUCUUAACUGGGCGUUAAGUUGCAGGGUAUAGACCCGAAACCCGGUGAUCUAGCCAUGGGCAGGUUGAAGGUUGGGUAACACUAACUGGAGGACCGAACCGACUAAUGUUGAAAAAUUAGCGGAUGACUUGUGGCUGGGGGUGAAAGGCCAAUCAAACCGGGAGAUAGCUGGUUCUCCCCGAAAGCUAUUUAGGUAGCGCCUCGUGAAUUCAUCUUCGGGGGUAGAGCACUGUUUCGGCUAGGGGGUCAUCCCGACUUACCAACCCGAUGCAAACUACGAAUACCGAAGAAUGUUAUCACGGGAGACACACGGCGGGUGCUAACGUCCGUCGUGAAGAGGGAAACAACCCAGACCGCCAGCUAAGGUCCCAAAGUCAUGGUUAAGUGGGAAACGAUGUGGGAAGGCACAGACAGCCAGGAUGUUGGCUUAGAAGCAGCCAUCAUUUAAAGAAAGCGUAAUAGCUCACUGGUCGAGUCGGCCUGCGCGGAAGAUGUAACGGGGCUAAACCAUGCACCGAAGCUGCGGCAGCGACACUAUGUGUUGUUGGGUAGGGGAGCGUUCUGUAAGCCUGCGAAGGUGACCUGUGAGGGUUGCUGGAGGUAUCAGAAGUGCGAAUGCUGACAUAAGUAACGAUAAAGCGGGUGAAAAGCCCGCUCGCCGGAAGACCAAGGGUUCCUGUCCAACGUUAAUCGGGGCAGGGUGAGUCGACCCCUAAGGCGAGGCCGAAAGGCGUAGUCGAUGGGAAACAGGUUAAUAUUCCUGUACUUGGUGUUACUGCGAAGGGGGGACGGAGAAGGCUAUGUUAGCCGGGCGACGGUUGUCCCGGUUUAAGCAUGUAGGCUGGUUAUCCAGGCAAAUCCGGAUAAUCAAGGCUGAGGUGUGAUGACGAGGCACUACGGUGCUGAAGUAACAAAUGCCCUGCUUCCAGGAAAAGCCUCUAAGCAUCAGGUAACAUCAAAUCGUACCCCAAACCGACACAGGUGGUCAGGUAGAGAAUACCAAGGCGCUUGAGAGAACUCGGGUGAAGGAACUAGGCAAAAUGGUGCCGUAACUUCGGGAGAAGGCACGCUGGUGUGUAGGUGAAGUCCCUGCGGAUGGAGCUGAGACCAGUCGAAGAUACCAGCUGGCUGCAACUGUUUAUUAAAAACACAGCACUGUGCAAACACGAAAGUGGACGUAUACGGUGUGACGCCUGCCCGGUGCCGGAAGGUUAAUUGAUGGGGUUAUCCGUAAGGAGAAGCUCUUGAUCGAAGCCCCGGUAAACGGCGGCCGUAACUAUAACGGUCCUAAGGUAGCGAAAUUCCUUGUCGGGUAAGUUCCGACCUGCACGAAUGGCGUAAUGAUGGCCAGGCUGUCUCCACCCGAGACUCAGUGAAAUUGAACUCGCUGUGAAGAUGCAGUGUACCCGCGGCAAGACGGAAAGACCCCGUGAACCUUUACUAUAGCUUGACACUGAACAUUGAGCCUUGAUGUGUAGGAUAGGUGGGAGGCUUUGAAGCGUGGACGCCAGUCUGCGUGGAGCCGACCUUGAAAUACCACCCUUUAAUGUUUGAUGUUCUAACGUUGGCCCCUUACCGGGGUUGCGGACAGUGUCUGGUGGGUAGUUUGACUGGGGCGGUCUCCUCCCAAAGCGUAACGGAGGAGCACGAAGGUUAGCUAAUCCUGGUCGGACAUCAGGAGGUUAGUGCAAUGGCAUAAGCUAGCUUGACUGCGAGCGUGACGGCGCGAGCAGGUGCGAAAGCAGGUCAUAGUGAUCCGGUGGUUCUGAAUGGAAGGGCCAUCGCUCAACGGAUAAAAGGUACUCCGGGGAUAACAGGCUGAUACCGCCCAAGAGUUCAUAUCGACGGCGGUGUUUGGCACCUCGAUGUCGGCUCAUCACAUCCUGGGGCUGAAGUAGGUCCCAAGGGUAUGGCUGUUCGCCAUUUAAAGUGGUACGCGAGCUGGGUUUAGAACGUCGUGAGACAGUUCGGUCCCUAUCUGCCGUGGGCGCUGGAGAAUUGAGGGGGGCUGCUCCUAGUACGAGAGGACCGGAGUGGACGCAUCACUGGUGUUCGGGUUGUCAUGCCAAUGGCACUGCCCGGUAGCUAAAUGCGGAAGAGAUAAGUGCUGAAAGCAUCUAAGCACGAAACUUGCCCCGAGAUGAGUUCUCCCUGAGACUUUAAGUCUCCUGAAGGAACGUUAAAGACGAUGACGUUGAUAGGCCGGGUGUGUAAGCGCAGCGAUGCGUUGAGCUAACCGGUACUAAUGAACCGUGAGGCUUAACCUUACAACGCCGAAG